AAAAAAAAAAAAAAAAAAAGAUCUUAUACUGAAUAUCAGAUAGCAUAACCCCAACUACUUGUAGCUAUACGGAGUACAAGUUUGUGUAUCUGAAGGUGCGUAUUUGUGCAAGAUUUGUGUCCCUCUUCUUCUCUCAUUCACAUACAACCAUCCGCGUGUUGGCUUCCUACUUUUAUGCACGGAGCUCAACUUCAUUAAUUUCAGAGGCAGCUAUGGUUUGGAGAAUUCACAUCACCGUGGCAGCUUUUGCAGUUGCGUAGUCUGAUCAGUUUCUAUUUGCAUCCCGCAAAAUUCCAAUUCAUUUCCUCCAUCUUUGCAUUUUACUGAAAUGUUCUUCUCUUGAUGCUCCUCAUCCAAAGAUUAUUUGCCAAUUUAGUCCAUGCUUCGCUCUUAUAUAUAGUUUCCUUUAAAUUAAAUCAAGCCCAGAAAUCCCACCACUGACAACCAGUAUUUGAUUGAUCGAAAAGGCCAUCAGAGUCUAAACUUCGCCAAUCUUCUUGUGAUGUCCAUGAUCCAUCAGCGUGUUCCACUAUGCUCAUAAGGUUGGGUUCUUCCUCUAAUCCAAAGUAUUCAACCUUUAUUCUAUCAUCUUCAUCUGAAGGAACUCCCAAUCCAUGUGCUGAUCUUUCAAAUGACAAGCUGGGCUUCGCUUCUGAAUCACACUUUUUGGUGUCUCCAUUUUCCGAUUCACCUUCACUGCUAUUCACAGCUACUCCCUGCCCACACCACUCGCCUUCCUCUCUUGGCUUCUGCAUCAGAUCAUUUAGCUUCUGCAACUGUCAAAUUUUGGAGAACGCAUGUUAAGUUGGCUUAUAAUGUUAAGUGAAAUUACGAUCUCAUUAAUUGACUCAACCCAUGAGUAGAUCAUAAACUAUCAAGACUUAAUAGCAAUGUGCAGCCAAGUACCUGAAUUGCCAACGCCUGCUUCUCCUUCUUCAGAGUCUCAAACCUGGAAGCCAAACUAUUGUAAUUGGCUCGUAGAAUACCAUAAUCUCUUUCAAGCUGCUUGGACUUCCAUCUAGCUCUCUUAUUCUGAAACCAUAUUGCAACCUGUUUUGGCUGCAAGCCAAGCUCUUUAGCAAGCUCAAGUUUCUUUCGAGCCUCGAGCCUUGACUCGGAUUCAAACAUAGAUUCUAAUGAUUUAACUUGUUCAUCACUAAACCUCCUCUUGUUCCUGUUCUUCUUCUUUCUCGUGGCUGCGAGUGCGUCGAGAUUGGGGAAAAAGGGCUCCUGUGUGGAAGGAGGAUAUUCAACCUUGUCUAACCACUCCACUGCGCAUCCCUACAACAUGAUGUUAGAUAAGGUUGAAUAUC
rnacentral:misc_RNA from 1 species